rnacentral:lncRNA from 1 species
UGGGAUUGUAACCCCAGGCUGUGGUGGGAUGAGAGUCAAGCUUGGGCUGUCAGCAAGGGGACCUGCAGCAGUUCCCUGCCAGGACACAUCAGAACUCCUGAGCCGCCUUCUUCCAGUGCUGCUCUCAUUAAGGAAAAGAGCUGAUGCCACCUGUGCUGCCCUGGCUUCAGCACUGUCAGCUCUGUUCCAUGCCCAGGUUUGUGUUGAGGAAGAAGGGCCCUGCUGGAAUACUGGAAUUCUGCUCUCUUCAGGUCCCAUCACCCUGGAGCUGCCGGCUGCUCUGGCUUGUGGCUUCCCCCCAUCACAUCACUGUAGUGCCUUGAGGAGGGGACAGUGACACUGAGCCCAGGAAAUGCUGUCAGCCACAUUUCCCAGAGGGGCGGCGCUUUCUAAAGUUCAUGGUGUGAGAUUGGUCUCUGCUGCCCCUUUCAGGGAACAUCUGUAAGCGCAUCACAUCUGUAAAAAAAGGCAGGAAGGUUUAUCUGCUGGACCAAGAAGUUGUCCUGAAUUUCCUCCCCUCUCCAGAUGCCUCGUUUUUGACUGCUUCUGCUCCUGGGCAGCCACAGCUUGUGUUCUCUGGCCACCUGGGACCUGAUCUCCUUCCUCUGACACUUCCACAGAGAGCAGCUGGUGGGAGACACUUUCUGGUGAGUUAAAAUCAUGGUGAUGUAUUUUAUCCCCACAGACAAAGAGUUGUAGGUGUUUAAAGCUGAGGUAGUGAUCAUACAGAGAUCCACAGCUAAGAGUUUUACUAUGAUUUUCUCCAGAAAGUUGAGUCAAAGCUACCCAGAAGUUCAGCUCUGGUGCAGGAGCGCACCCCAGUGUUACCUCUUUAGGCACAAAGAUUUUUACAGGCAAAAAUACUCUUUGUUCUAAUAAUGAAUGGGGAAGAACAGAGAGGGAAGCAAAGGAAAAACCCAAACAAUACCAUGUUCUCUGCUGACUGUUUGGCUUAGCUCUGCAGCACAAUUUCCAUCUCUCUUCCACAUUAUUCUGAGAUUCUUUCCCAAGAGGAUCUUAUCAGUAGAUAAGUGGCUGCUUCUGAGCCAACUCUUUUCUUCUGGUUCAGUGGCUGGCACGAUGUUUGUAUGAACUCUAAACCAUCAACUUGUUGCUCUCUGAUUUUCUUUGCUGAUAUGAUCCCCACCAGCUCUCACAUUUCCUAGGGCAAGCACAAUCAAGCACAAUCAAACAAAAUUAAUCAGAACAAACAGAAUUAGUGCUCAUUCUUUCUUAACAACAUGCCUGUAGGGGUUUUUGUUUCCCUUAGCAAAUCCAUUCCAGCUCCUUUCUCUCAUGUUAAUUCACUUCCACUCUGGGUUACAGGUAACAAUGAGAGGAGAGGAUUGUGCUUUGCCUUGAGCCAAAGCUCUGCAUU